AUCUAUGGCGGCUGUGCGUGGGGCACCUUCGGGUGCGCCGGGUGCCUGACGGUCCGGUCUGCUAACCCGCGUACAGCUGCCACCCUU
rfam:Pseudomonas rhizosphaerae strain DSM 16299, complete genome.